rnacentral:rRNA from 1 species
UACAGAGGGGGCUAGCGUUGUUCGGAAUUACUGGGCGUAAAGGGCGCGUAGGUGGCCUGUUAAGUCGAACGUGAAAUCCCCGGGCUCAACCCGGGAACUGCGUCCGAGACUGGCAGGCUCGAAUCCGGGAGAGGGAUGUGGAAUUCCAGGUGUAGCGGUGAAAUGCGUAGAUAUCUGGAGGAACACCGGUGGCGAAGGUGGCAUCCUGGACCGGUAUUGACGCUGAGGCGCGAAAGCCAGGGGAGCAAACGGG